GCGCCUCUUUGGCAGCUGGUCACAUGGUGAGGGUGGGGGUGAGGGGGCCUCUCUAGCUUGCGGCCUGUGUCUAUGGUCGGGCCCUCUGCGUCCAGCUGCUCCGGACCGAGCUCAGGUGUAUGGGGCCGUAGGAACCGGCUCCGGGGCCCCGAUAACGGGCCGCCCCCGCAGCACCCCGGCCUGGCGUGAGGGUCUCCCUUGAUCUGAGAAUGGCUACCUCUCGAUAUGAGCCAGUGGCUGAAAUUGGUGUCGGUGCCUAUGGGACAGUGUACAAGGCCCGUGAUCCCCACAGUGGCCACUUUGUGGCCCUCAAGAGUGUGAGAGUCCCCAAUGGAGGAGGAGCUGGAGGAGGCCUUCCCAUCAGCACAGUUCGUGAGGUGGCUUUACUGAGGCGACUGGAGGCUUUUGAGCAUCCCAAUGUUGUCCGGUGAGAAGGUGGUGGAGGGUUGGGCGUGGGGAGUAAAGGGAAAAUACAGCCUAUAGGUGGGGUGUGAUGAUCUGUAAAGAAGUGGGGACCCUGAGGAAAUAAUGAGAGGCCAUGUUGGGUUAAAGGGGAUUGAAAAGUGAGCAUUUACUCUGGUCAGGCUGAUGGACGUCUGUGCCACAUCCCGAACUGACCGGGAGAUCAAGGUAACCCUGGUGUUUGAGCAUGUAGACCAGGACCUAAGGACGUAUCUGGACAAGGCACCCCCACCAGGCUUGCCAGCCGAAACCAUCAAGGAUCUGAUGCGCCAGUUUCUAAGAGGCCUAGAUUUCCUUCAUGCCAAUUGCAUCGUUCACCGAGAUCUGAAGCCAGAGAACAUUCUGGUGACAAGUGGUGGAACAGUCAAGCUGGCUGACUUUGGCCUGGCCAGAAUCUACAGCUACCAGAUGGCACUUACACCCGUGGUCAGUAGAAAGAUGGUACCAAAAUGGGUUCUGGUUGGGAGUAGGAGAGUGAUUGCCCGUAGCAAUUGAGAAGUCAUGUGCUUCAAGUGUUCAGUC
rnacentral:sRNA from 1 species